rnacentral:lncRNA from 10 species
GUCCAUUCAGCUGCUCUAAAAUGUGAGCUCCAAAUCAGGGACCAUGUCUGGUUGGUUACCCAUUUCCUGGGACCUAGAACGGGCCUAGCUCAGAGCAGGUGCUCACUAUUGAUGGAAUGCAUGUUGAAAGAAUGCAUGAAUCUCAUCUCCUUUUGUGGGUGAAAAUCUCAUCCUAUUCUCACUCCUGAUUAACUUUCUUUCUUUUUUUUUUUUCAAAACGGAGCCCUGAUCUGUCACCCAGGCUGGAGUGCAAUGGUGCCAUCUCAGCUCGCUGCAACCUCUGCCUUCUGGAUUAAAGCAAUUCUCCUGCCUCAGCCUCCCGGGUAGCUGGGAUUACAGGGGAGUCCUUGAGCAGAAGGAAGCAAGUUGCCUGAGAUUCUUCAAAGCCCGCAGCCCUUUUGGAGGUAGAAGUUGCUGGUCCCAUCUUGCUCACAAUCCUCCAAAGUUUGAAAGUUAUUUUCCAGGAGACUUGGCUUGCACUGAGAGCUGCCCUCCCACCCUCUCUCCAAAUUUCCUCUUGGGGGUAGCCUAACAAGGUGCUGUCACAGACCCUUGUCGGCCACGAUGACCCCACCCAGACCAUCCCUCUGCUGUUUCACUCUUUGAUAGUCUCUGGAGCUCUCUGGGGAGGGGU